UUAAUUGCAUAUUUUGUGAGUAGUUUUCUUUGCAGUGUCUGGAUUUCUUCUAGGCUUGUUACUUGGAGAUUUCUGUAAGGUUCUCUACAGGCCCAGUGAGGCUAUUGCUCUGCAGACCUUUAGUUUCACCUUCCACCUUUGCGAAGGUAGAAAAAGACAUUGUGUAUAGAGGGCUAAAAGAUAAUUUUGCUUACACAGUGGUAAGAAUCCAAGGAGAUCCUGCAGUCUUUAAUUUGGGUUAAACAAGUCUGCAAACCAUUGUGCUGAGGGCUGAGACAUACACACCUGGGUGUAAUAUGUUUGUUAGUUACUGGUGUUCAGAGCUAUGGGACAUUCUCCUUUUCAUCGCUAUUGAUUCAUUAAGAAAGCCUGUGUAAGGGAAACUGUAUGUGACAACGUGUGUUUCUCUCAUUCUUAUGGCCAGCAACUACCCCAGCAGAUCAAAAGAAACAGAAGAGUAUUACUUGGUAUGUGUGGAGUUGUCUUCCUCAGAGACUUUGUGACAUAAUUCCAUUGUUUAUAAAAACUUCAGUUUAACAUGUCAGCUACUGAAAUAUUCCUGAUAUCCACAAAGGAUCAAGAGACGGUGGCUAGACAACUCCAUUUUCCUCGUUGUGAUGGGUACCGAGGGCAGCUUGCAGGAUGCUGCUGAGGUGGUGUGGUUUCACAAGAUUUUAUGAAUGGAAGACAGGAUCAAGUAAGUGCUCAAGGGAUGAGAAAGGGAAGA